rnacentral:lncRNA from 1 species
CGGAAAUUCUAAAAAGGUACAAUUUCAAUUUCUUUUGACGGAUGAACGUAAUAUCCAACAGUAUUUAUCCAAAUAGGACUACUUAACUUUUUCUAUCAAACUUUGAUGAACAAAAGUUAAACAGAAAAUUAACUGCCACCACAAAAAAAUACUACCAAACAUUUAGCCCGUCACAGUCUUGGUUAUGUCCAUAGUUCUGCUUUUCUUCCUUUUUUCUUUUCUUCGUGUAGAUAUUAAACGAAAAGCAUAAAUAAGAGGAUUUUACAAGAUAGUCAAUAAUGGAUUUUCAAGCAGAGAUAAUUUCAUGAAAUAUAUUCUCUGCGAGGAACAUUUCCGAGAAAAGUUGUUUAGAAAAGUGUUAAAGGGGGGACAAACGGUAAUUUGUUAGAAAAUUAUUUUUUAACGGUAAGUGUGAAAGGAAUUAAAUAAGUAUUUCAAACGGUAAACAUAAAAUGGCAGACGAAAUUAAAUAACGUCUCAAGAGUUGCUUAUAUUCAUGAAGCAUAUCUCUGUAGACCAUAAAGAGACAUGACCUUUUGAAAAUAUUUAAUUAAAGAAUACUGCAAACAAUAAAUCAAAUCUAAAGCAUCUCAUCAGUGUAUGAGUCUAUACAAAGAAGAGUGUAUGAAACUAUACAGAGUAGGGUGUGUCAUCGAAAAGACAGAAAUUAGAUAAUGUGAUAACGCAUGACAAAAAGAAAUCUACUGGCUGGUGUUGUAUUGAAGAAACGUUAAUUAAUUUUCAGCGUGAUAAUGAAACGAUAUUUAGUGCUAGAAAAUGAUAAAAAGAAUAGCUAGGGCUGUUUCUAUCAAUGAAUAUAUAAUGGGUGGAAUAAGUAAAUAAGUUAUCUGUUAGAAAUAAUAUAAACUGGGAAAACUAACACUAAGAACAGAAUUAAGGCUAACUUAUGUCCGAAUAAUGGAAACAUCGAAAGGUGAACAAAUAAGGGCUCCCUCUUCAAUGUCUAACAAAAUACAAGGUGCGUUCAAAAAGUACCCGACUUCAUAAUUCUUUCCCUAAUACCGCGAGGGCAAAAAUCCCUUGGGUGGAAUGUGACGGCAUUUUUCUUGUGCAUGCGUGAAAAUAUUUGCGCUGGUAGAACGAAUCAGUUCCCGGUUGUUAUGCUCGGAGUACACGCGUGUAGUGCGCGUUCGUCGGAUUUUCGUUUUCACCGAAGCAGAAAUAUUGCAUCAAGUUCUGCGAAAAGCUUUCUAAUAUUCAAACUCAAACCAUCCACUUCCAGCAGCCUUUUGGCGAUAAUGACAUGGGCAAAGCGCUGAUCAAUAAGUGGUACAACCACUUCAAACAUGGUCACACCUCAGAGAUGUUCUAAAUAUGUAUUUAUCUUAUGGUAAAAAUAAUCCUGCUAAAUAUAUACCAUGGGAUAGUAACACUCGGCCUGAAACAAGGCUAAUUAUAAGCUGAUCUUCAGAAAUUACCUGAAAUUUGGCUGAGGGUUUCUAUCACGAAGAUUAAUUUUCGGCAGAUUUAAUUGUAACUUCUUGGACAAAAUCCCUUAAGAUGAAAAUACUGGUACUAAGGGGCAUAUAUUGGGAAUAAUUGAUAGAAAUGAUAUAAAAGACCGUAUAUUGUAACAAUGUUCGGUAAGACGAAAAUGGCAGUAGGCCAUCAAGCUAGUGGGGGGGGGUGACAUGAGAACCCUAAAGAUUAUCUGAUAAUCAUUGAAACUGAUGGAGUGUGAUAUUUUUCUUUCUAUUUUCAGAGUACGUUGAACUGUACGUGAGAGAUAAACCGAUAAAGAUAUAUCCGCUUUGCCUGCUAGAACUAACAAAACUCAGGAUGAAUUUAGAAAAAUCUUCUGAAUGAUCUCAGUCCAAGACACUACGAUGUCAAUUUGAUAUCAAAGCUGAGCAAUCGAAUAGCGAAAAGAAACAAGCACCCAAUAUAUUUAUACCCUGAUAAUGCGAUACAAAGAAAGAUAGUAUAUAACUAUUACAUUAAGGCAGCGAGGUGGAAGAAUUGUUUGUAC